rnacentral:rRNA from 1 species
GAUCCUGGCUCAGGAUGAACGCUGGCGGCGUGCCUAACACAUGCAAGUCGAGCGAUCUCUUCGGAGAGAGCGGCGGACGGGUGAGUAACGCGUGGGUAACCUGCCCUGUACACACGGAUAACAUACCGAAAGGUAUGCUAAUACGGGAUAAUAUAUAAGAGUCGCAUGACUUUUAUAUCAAAGAUUUUUCGGUACAGGAUGGACCCGCGUCUGAUUAGCUUGUUGGCGGGUACGCCACAGCG